rnacentral:rRNA from 1 species
GAUGAACGCUGGCGGCGUGCCUAACACAUGCAAGUCGAGCGGGGUUGCGCACUGGAGCGGUCUUCGGACCAAUCCUUGCGUAACUUAGCGGCGGACGGGUGAGUAACACGUGGAUAAUCUGCCCUAUGCUGCGGGAUAACAUCUGGAAACAGGUGCUAAUACCGCAUAAGCCCCCACCACAGCAUUGUGGAGAGGGAAAAGAUUUAUCGGCAUAGGAUGAGUCCGCGUUAGAUUAGUUAGAUGGUGGGGUAACGGCCUACCAUGACUACGAUCUAUAGCCGACCUGAGAGGGUGAUCGGCCACACUGGGACUGAGACACGGCCCAGACUCCUACGGGAGGCAGCAGUGAGGGAUAUUGCACAAUGGGCGAAAGCCUGAUGCAGCAACGCCGCGUGAAGGAAGAAGGUUUUCGGAUCGUAAACUUCUAUCGAUGGGGACGAAUAAUGACGGUACCCAAGUAAGAAGCCCCGGCUAACUACGUGCCAGCAGCCGCGGUAAUACGUAGGGGGCAAGCGUUAUCCGGAAUUACUGGGUUUUAAGGGUGCGUANCCGGUCAGGCAAGUCACAUUGUUAA